GCUCUUGUGGCGCAAUUGGCAGCGCAGCUGACCUGUAAUCAGAAGGUUGUGGGUUCGAAUCCCUCCUGGAGCU
rnacentral:tRNA from 1 species